UACGUAGGGGGCAAGCGUUGUCCGGAAUUACUGGGCGUAAAGGGCUCGUAGGUGGCCAACUAAGUCAGACGUGAAAUCCCUCGGCUUAACCGGGGAACUGCGUCUGAUACUGGAUGGCUAGAGUUUGGGAGAGGGAUGCGGAAUUCCAGGUGUAGCGGUGAAAUGCGUAGAUAUCAGGAGGAACACCGGUGGCGAAGGCGGGUCUCUGGGCCGACAUUGACGCUGAGGAGCGAAAGCGUGGGGAGCGAACAGG
rnacentral:rRNA from 1 species